rnacentral:tRNA from 1 species
GGGCCGAUGGUCUAGCCUGGUUAGGACACUACCCUCACACGGUAGUAGCUCAGGUUCAAAUCCUGGUCGGCCCA